AGGGCGACCCCGGACAGCUGCCGGACCCCCGACCUGGCAGCUGUGCGGGGUCACUUC
rnacentral:sRNA from 18 species